AACGAACGCUGGCGGCAGGCUUAACACAUGCAAGUCGAGCGCCCCGCAAGGGGAGCGGCAGACGGGUGAGUAACGCGUGGGAAUCUACCCAUCUCUACGGAAUAACGCAUGGAAACGUGUGAUAAUACCGCAUGCGUCCUUCGGGAGAAAGAUUUAUCGGAGAUGGAUGAGCCCGCGUUGGAUUAGCUAGUUGGUGGGGGAAAGGCCUACCAAGGCGACGAUCCAUAGCUGGUCUGAGAGGAUGAUCAGCCACACUGGGACUGAGACACGGCCCAGACUCCUACGGGAGGCAGCAGUGGGGAAUAUUGGACAAUGGGCGCAAGCCUGAUCCAGCCAUGCCGCGUGAGUGAUGAAGGCCCUAGGGUUGUAAAGCUCUUUCACCGGUGAAGAUAAUGACGGUAACCGGAGAAGAAGCCCCGGCUAACUUCGUGCCAGCCGCCGCCGUAAAAC
rnacentral:rRNA from 1 species